rnacentral:rRNA from 1 species
AUGCAAGUCGAGCGAAUGGAUUAAGAGCUUGCUCUUAUGAAGUUAGCGGCGGACGGGUGAGUAACACGUGGGUAACCUGCCCAUAAGACUGGGAUAACUCCGGGAAACCGGGGCUAAUACCGGAUAACAUUUUGAACCGCAUGGUUCGAAAUUGAAAGGCGGCUUCGGCUGUCACUUAUGGAUGGACCCGCGUCGCAAUUAAGCAUAGUUGGUGAGGUAACGGCUCACCAAGGCAACGAUGCGUAGCCGACCUGGAGAGUGUGUGAUCGGCCACACUGGGACUCGAGCACACGGCCCUAGACUCUCUACGGGAGGCAGCAGUAGGGAAUCUUCCGCAAUGGACGAAAGUCUGACGGAGCAACGCCGCGUGAGUGAUGAAGGCUUUCGGGUCGUAAAACUCUGUUGUUAGGGAAGAACAAGUGCUAGUUGAAUAAGCUGGCACCUUGACGGUACCUAACCAGAAAGCCACGGCUAACUACGUGCCAGCAGCCGCGGUAAUACGUAGGUGGCAAGCGUUAUCCCGGAAUUAUUGGGCGUAAAGCGCGCGCAGGUGGUUUCUUAAGUCUGAUGUGAAAGCCCACGGCUCAACCGUGGAGGGUCAUUGGAAACUGGGAGACUUGAGUGCAGAAGAGGAAAGUGGAAUUCCAUGUGUAGCGGUGAAAUGCGUAGAGAUAUGGAGGAACACCAGUGGCGAAGGCGACUUUCUGGUCUGUAACUGACACUGAGGCGCGAAAGCGUGGGGGAGCAAACAGGAUUAGAUACCCUGGUAGUCCACGCCGUAAACGAUGAGUGCUAAGUGUUAGAGGGUUUCCGCCCUUUAGUGCUGAAGUUAACGCAUUAAGCACUCCGCCUGGGGAGUACGGCCGCAAGGCUGAAACUCAAAGGAAUUGACGGGGGCCCGCACAAGCGGUGGAGCAUGUGGUUUAAUUCGAAGCAACGCGAAGAACCUUACCAGGUCUUGACAUCCUCUGACAACCCUAGAGAUAGGGCUUCUCCUUCGGGAGCAGAGUGACAGGUGGUGCAUGGUUGUCGUCAGCUCGUGUCGUGAGAUGUUGGGUUAAGUCCCGCAACGAGCGCAACCCUUGAUCUUAGUUGCCAUCAUUUAGUUGGGCACUCUAAGGUGACUGCCGGUGACAAACCGGAGGAAGGUGGGGAUGACGUCAAAUCAUCAUGCCCCUUAUGACCUGGGCUACACACGUGCUACAAUGGACGGUACAAAGAGCUGCAAGACCGCGAGGUGGAGCCUAAUCUUCAUGAAAACCGUUCUCAGUUCGGAUUGUAGGCUGCAACUCGCCUACAUGAAGCUGGAAUCGCUAGUAAUCGCGGAUCAGCAUGCCGCGGUGAAUACGUUCCCGGGCCUUGUACACACCGCCCGUCACACCACGAGAGUUUGUAACACCCGAAGUCGGUGGGGUAACCUUUUGGAGCCAGCCGCCUAAGGUG